AUUUUAUUCGUACAAUUAGUUGUAAAAAUAUCAACAAUGGAGCAAGACAUCAGAACCGAAAAUAAAAUUUCUGCGCAAAGCUUUAAUAAUGAUGAGCAACCGGACCAUCAAAGACAACAAAUGGGGAUAUACAAAAGUGUUAGAUGCCACAGAAAUUGCCUAAGCUUUACAACUUCCGGUGUGGUUAUUUUACUACAUAAUAUGUUAAAUACACGUCUAUUACUAUAGUUUUGCUAUUAUUUUUUAAAAGCUUUUAUUUGACAUCCUAUGUUGGUUUAUUUUUAACUGAAUUUUUGAACAAGUAUUCAUGCAUACGCCUGAUGACAAUGCAAUACAUAUAUGUACGAAAGUUCUCUAUCUCUAAAUCAUUGAUACUCAACUUUUAAUUUUAGUUGAGUCUUACAUUUUCCAAUUUUGAAAUAAAAAUUUAAAAAAUAAUAUCAAAUUUUAAACUAUCUCACUAUCAGUAUCAGAAUAUAAACUUUAAAUUGGAUUAUUCAAGAAGCUCUAAAAAGAAAAUAAUAAAAAAAUUAAAAAAAGGUUUAACAUAUUUAAAUGCUCUAAACUGAAGAAAAUAAACUUUCAAAAGCGACUA